AUUAGGCUGUCUUUAUAACUCUCAGCUCCUUCUUCCAGGACGCGAAUAAUUUGUGUUUCUUUUUUAGCUGUCAUAACAAUGGAAAGCUUUGCAAUCAGAUGGAUUGCAACAUGGUCUAUCCAAUUCAGCUUAACAAUUUUUCAAUCUUAUUUCAUUUCAUCUUCCAAGGAUCUGGAUGCUGACACAGCUAUAGAAGAGUAUGAAAGAUCACUAAAUGCUAUUGAAUAAAAACAUUUGCCCAGAAACAUGAAACUGACGUGAUGGGAUGCAGAAAGGAAAGAGCAUAGAAGUAAGAAAAUGAAUAGCAGGAAACUGGACCUAAAUUAAGAAAUGAAAGUUUGAAGUAGUGGUUGGGGGACUGACAUGAAGAGGGGCAAGAACUAUUAAUCGUGUGAAACAAUGGAAAAGCUGAAGAAC
rnacentral:lncRNA from 1 species